UUCAGGGCUAUCUCUUCUGCUUUAUUCUGAUCUAUUUUUGUAUCACUUUGCUAGCGCCACAGCAUCUUGAUCACAAUAGCUUUACAGAACUCCUGAGGUUUUGUUAAUUUUAACUCUGCAAUUUUGUUCUUCAGUACUAUGCUUUUUAGAGUUUGUUGAUUGUUUUAAAAAUUUUAUAACAUUUGGAGAUAUGACUUUUCCACUCUAUCUCUUUUUAUGUGACAAAUCAAAAUGCAUAUUACCUUUAAUUGUGAUAUUUUAUAUACAAAUGUCUUGAAAGUCUUUGGAUGUAAGCCUUCUUCUCUAAAUCUCUUUAACUCAUGUCUCAUUAGCUUAAAAUCUCUUGAGUUUACUUUAUUUUUCCUACUGGGAUGACUAUGCACACAUUGCUGUUUUUAAAUAAUUUUUAUAAGUUUUUAAUGCCCCAGUUAGAUCAUCUGUAAGAGCCACAGGUUUUGGUUUAAAGACUUCUUUAUAUGGCUGGGGAAGACGAAUUUCCCAGAGUUACAAGGUGUGGUUUUUGGCACGUUCAGUAAAAAACAAAACAAUAGUAAAAAGGAAUUUCUAAGAACAUUCUCCUGCCUAUGAGUAAUCCCAAUUUAUUUCCUGCUUGGCCUGUCUAAAAGGAAUUGAUGCUCCUGGGAAUCUCCCCGGAUUUCGCUGUACCCUGAGGGGGUGGUGCAGUUUGUGAGGAGAGCUGAAAGGAGGAGAUGAGCUUGGGUAUUACGGAGGAAGAAAUUGACAGGUUUGUGACGGAGGCCCAUUUUCCCUUUUCCUGCCGUCCUGCGAAGGUUAUGGGACCCAGGAAUGUGACUGGGGAAAUCCGCUAGGCUACAAAAUGUCAUUACCAGUGGUUAAACACAUGCUUGUCUCGAAUAGAGUUUUAUAGGGUACUGCUACAACUGUUAUAAGAAAGAAAAUGUUAAAUUGUCCAUUUUGUGAUUGAUACUUACUUUUAAGUCAGUGUUUCUAAUCUUAUUAAAAAAUCCUUUGGGAAUCUCCUGGCAGCUAUGAUUGAGUCCCUAGAAAAAUACAAUUACACACAAUUUGGCUUACAAUUUUGAGGGAUUCAAGCAAUCUCUGUACUUCCAAAUGGGAACCCACGCUUUAAAAUCCUACUUGAGAACUUACAUUUUGAAAGGCAUGUCUUAUCUGUAUAAAUGCUGCUAAGUCUUAUUUCAUAGAUGUGUACUCUGUUAACCAUGACAGUUUGUUUCAAUGUCAUAAAUCCAGAAUCAGCAAACUAUGACCUAGGUCCUAAGGUGAUCCACCAGCUGAUUUUAUAAAUAAGGUUUUAUGGCCACACCAUUUGCCCAUGCAUUACCCCUGGCUGCUUUCUUGCCACAAAAGGAAAGUUGAAUAGUUGCAGGGGAGAUUGCAUGGUCUGCAAAACUGAAAACAUUUACUUUUUGGACGUUUUUAGAAAAAGCUGGCUGACCCCGGCUAUAAAAAUGAAAUUUGAGAAAAUGGAUGUUAUGCCUUUGUAUUUUAUGCCUUCCAAUAAUUACCUAUAUUUGAGAGAUUCUCAAAAUCAUGUGACCUUGACAUUUCUGCAGGAGGAUGCUCUAUGGUGCUUUUCCUGUUUUCCCAGAGUUUGGUUGAAGUCUCCAAGCUGAAGAUGAUUUGUGCUCCCUCUCCAUAUUAUGCAGAGAAAUACAAAACUCAUGCUUACAGCACUUGCAAAAAUAUAACCAUCUGCUGGCCUGGCAUCUGACCCACACUCAAACUUCAGUGACAAACACAGAGAGCAGAGGCAUCAACCGAGGAUGGAUACAAGUGUGGCAUCAGCAGGGAAUAUACUCUGUUCCUGGCUAGGUUGACUGCUUCAUGGAAACAAACUAAGUGGGGUCUGCUUCCCUCUGCAAAAUGGCCAGGAAGCCUCCCUUGUUGAGGGGUGAUGAGACACUGUGAGUCUUUGCAUUAAAAAAAUUAAUGUGUAUUUUAUUUAUUAA